CAAGUCGAACGCGAGGCGCCCUUUCGGGGGCGUAGUAGAGUGGCGCACGGGUGAGUAACACGUAGACAACCUGCCUUCGAGCCCGGGAUAACCUUUCGAAAGAAGGGCUAAUACCGGAUAACACUUUGGGCCGCAUGGCCUGAAGUUGAAAGGCUUGCUACUCGAAGAGGGGUCUGCGGGACAUUAGCUAGUUGGUGGGGUAACGGCCUACCAAGGCUCUGAUGUCUAGCGGGUCUGAGAGGAUGAUCCGCCACACUGGAACUGAGACACGGUCCAGACUCCUACGGGAGGCAGCAGUGGGGAAUUUUGCGCAAUGGGCGAAAGCCUGACGCAGCAACGCCGCGUGAGUGAAGAAGGCCUUUGGGUCGUAAAGCUCUUUUCCGGGGGACGAGGCUGACGGUACCUCGGGAAUAAGCACCGGCUAACUCCGUGCCAGCAGCCGCGGUAAUACGGAGGGUGCAAGCGUUGUUCGGAUUUACUGGGCGUAAAGGGCGUGUAGGCGGAUCGGCAAGCCGGGGGUGAAAUCCCUGGGCUCAACCCGGGACGUGCUUUCGGAACUACCGAUCUGGAGUAAGGCAGAGGCAGGUGGAAUUCCAGGUGUAGAGGUGAAAUUCGUAGAGAUCUGGAGGA
rnacentral:rRNA from 1 species